rnacentral:lncRNA from 1 species
CUUCAAUGCAUCUAUGAAGUAUAACAAAUUUCAACUACAUGAUCGGCCAAAAACCUUUCACAUCUAUUCAUUUUCUUAUUAAUGUAUGAUUAAAGAACUUUAUUCCUCCAAUGACAACUAAUUUCUUCAAUUCACCAUGAUAAUAAUGAUUGUAUAAUUUCGUAAUAUACUCCUGCAAAUGAAUGUCCUUCUCUAUAGUAUCACUCAGUCUAUUCUCGUUCCCUAAAAAAAAUAAAGCAAACACAGUACAAAGAAACAUAUCCCUAAAGAGUCUAUUGAAAGGAUGACCAGGGGUAGAUGUAUAGUACUGCAGUUGUUGUAGUCGCGAGAUAUCAUCUUGUAAUAGAUCGUUAAUUAUUAUUGCUGCUGGCUCGAAGUUGAAUGUUCUAUUAACAUGUAACAAUUUGGGUCAAAAUUUAAUCGGCUUUUUCAAGAUUUCUCACGUGUGCAACAACUGCAGUGUCAUACAUCUACCUCUGAUCAUCCUUUCAAUAGAUUCAUUAUGGGUAUGUUUCUUUGUACGUUGUUUGCUCUACUUCUCGUAGGGAAUGAGAAGAGCCUGACUGAUGCUAUAGAGAAAGGUAUUCAUUUACAGAAGUAUAUUAUGAAAUUAUACAAUGAUUAUUAUCAUGGUGAAUUGAUGAAGUUAGUUGUCGUUAGAGGAAUUAAGUUUUUUAUUCACCAACUCAUGGAAUUUAUAGAUGGAAGAUUUGAAGAGGGUAGUUAGCCUUCAUAGUGUAAUGGCUUCAUAAGAUGCAAUUAUUUUCACGGUUAUGGUUUUGAGCAUUUUCGGUUUUUGUGUGCUUGUCCUAUCACAUUUAGAGAUAUGAGAAAUGCAAUUAGCUGUUGAAUUUGUUUAACGUUACAACAAAACCUUCGGUAUGGUUUUGUGCUUGUUUAAACAGGUGGUUGUACUUGAAAAUUAGAGUACAUCGGGAGAUGAUUAAACCAAUAUGGUGGAAAAUAAUUCAGAUGAGUACGAGACCACUGUUGCUUUUGUUUUUAGAAGUUUGAGUUAUCUCGAGACACCAUAGUAUUUCAUGAAAGGAAACAAACAAUAUAUUUGUGCUAAUACUUGAUUUAUUCUUUGAUUUUGUGCAAGGUCUAUGCCCCCACAACAUUGGCAUAACCAUGAAUGGACCUCAUACAAGGUAGAGCCUCAAACUUAUUGUCCAUUAUUAUUCAUGUGCACUAAUUUUGUUGAAUUGUUUAAAAAAGUGGAUUGAAAAUGGGAUAUAUAUUUCGAGCUAAUGUUUGUUAUUUUUUAAAUGCAUUUUUUGGAAUUAUUUUGUUGGUUGAUAUGGAGUCUUACUUCUCACUGCACCUCAAGGUUUAAACCUCUAAAAUGCCUCGCUAUCUAAAUGAGCCUUUUUUAAAAAUUAGAGCUGUGAGAAAGGCCUGGAGCUUUCCUUUUUCAUUGUUAUUUUUAUGGGAAAAAAUAAAACAAAAAAUUGAAACUGUCAGGUUGGGUGGCCUGACUUGUUUGAUAGCUUGAACUUUCUCAUUGAAGUUUAAAAAGUUUCAUGUCACUGAGAUGGCUGACUUUGUGCAGAGUAAUUCACCAUGUAUUACAAGAUUGGUGCAAAGUUUGGCACACGAUGGUUUACAUUUGAUCAUUGAAGUUCAAAAAGUUUCAUGUCACUAACAUGGCUGACUUUGUGCAGAGUAGUAAUUCACCAUGUAUGCAUCCUUCUUGUUGAUUCGUAUGAUUGGAGCAACGUUUGGGCAUAUGAUGGUUUACACUUGAUCGUUGAACUUUAGGUAAAUUUCAUGGAGACAAUAUUUUUGCUGAUGCCUUGACUUUGCUACUAAGGAAAUUAACCCGCCUUUGAUUUUAUAAAAGAAAGUUGCCUUUGAUUUUAUAAAAGAAAGUUAAAAGUUAUCUUCUAUAAAAUUUAGCUUCCUUAUUUUAGGUUCUAUUUUAUUUUUUGAGUUUUAGUCAUAUCUUUGUGGCAUCCACGUUACACUAGCUUUGAUUACACUUUGGGAAUCUAUUCACUUUGAUAGCAUUACAAUAUCCACUCAAUGAGGGGGAAUUCACUUUCUACUGGAUCGACACUAAAUCUUCUUAGACUAUUUGAGCCUCGUUGUCCUUUGGAAUAUAAAUCGGUGCCGAAUAAAAGAAAAUGCCCCAUAUACGAGUUUGUUAUUGUUUCAAGCUUGCUAAAGAUUUCACUAAGCCCUUGUUUGAUCCCCAUUUCGGGGGAAAUAAUGCAUUUUGAAUAGUAAAUUGAUGGAGAAUGUGUUAUUAAAAAUUAAAGAAAAGUUUUGAAUUUAUGUAUAAUAUUAUUUUAUUGAAAAAUGAGUGGUGGAAAAUAAGUUUUGAAAAAUUGAAUUUUCAGAAGAAUGAGAAUCAAACAAGGGUUAAGUUAGAAUAUCUGAACUUAAUGUAUAUUAAUAGGAUUUAUUUUUGCGUGACAGGCAUAGCACAGUUUGUUAGUAACUUUGCCGAGCUUGGAGAUCCACAGAAUGCUCCACCUAUCUAGAGGGAUUCAUGUAAGAUUUAUUUGCCUUAAAUAUCAUGUAUCCACAUAAAAAAGACAUGCUUCCUUGGAGAAACUUUUCUUUUUGAUUUGUUGUCUUUACAUAUACGGGAAGAAGUUCUAUUUUUGUUUUAAGUAUCUACACAAGUUGGAUAAAAGUUAUCAAUAUUUGUCUGUCCCUUUUUUUUUUUUUUUAGGGUAACUUGAUUGUCCUUAUGUCACAUGGAGAAGCAUUUCAUAUGCUACUCACCCGUUAGAAAAAUUUAUAUUAAAUGAAUAUUACUUUGUGUCUAUAUCUUGAGGUUUAAUAUCUUUGUCAUCUAAAGUGACUUGGAUGCCGAUGAAUUCAUGGUCUAUAGAUAAUUGGUAUGGAAAAACUUUAUUUUUGGAAACUUUCUGGAAGAGUAUUGUUAGUUAGCAUAUAUGAUUUAUAUUAGCAAUAUUGAUGUAGUAAUAUUAGUUUUAAUUUCUUUCGUUGUUUUGUUGAAAAUUGAAGCCUAUGCGUGACUAAUGAUAUAGUGACGCUUUUGUUUUGUGAGAUGAGAAUUGCUCUUAUGCAUUAUGGUAAACCUCAUUGGGUUUUAGUUAGUAGACCGUUGGUACCAAGAGAGGAGCAAGCCCAAGUGUUCAUGUGGUUGAUAUAGAUAUCCCCUUAAGUAAUUUGGUUGUUGAUGUACAAAAAUUGGAGAGACUUGGAUUCGGGAGAGUUUCAUAUGAAUUUAGGAAGAACUAUUAUGAUUCAAGUACAUCAAUUGGAUACCAUGUUCGGUAUGCUUUGCCAAAAGCUCCAGUCCCAGAGGUCAUAUUUCAUAAUAUUCCAAACUUGAUAUUGUCUUUUUGCAUUUCUUUUGGUUGUUGUUGUUUGAGCUUCAUGAUUUUUAUAGAUUAAUGGUUGUUAAAAUGGAAAUAGGUUUGGAUUGAUUUCAAUAGAUGAGAAGCUUUCAUCAAUGAUGAUCAUGCCAGAACAUUUCUUUCAAUGGAAGGUACAACAAGAAGAUUAGCUGAGGUAUGACAGAAUUCAUUAUGCAUUAGAAGGGUUAUUUCAUACAAUUUCCUUAGUAAAGCUAUUUGUUUCGGUGACUUUUAUGAAUUUUUUCUUAAGUUUUCAAAUACAGAAUCUGAUAACUGAAAUCUGGGCCUUAGACUACAAAUAAGAAAUUUGUGCUACAAUCAAAUAUUAUGAAAUUUUGGACACACUAAUAUUUUGAUUGUGUAAUUAGUAUAAAAAUUGUAAAUACCUGAUGUGGUUAAUAUUUAACGCACUAAUAUUUUGAUAGUAUUACAAAUUUUUGGAUGAAUAUUUUACUUUACAUGUUCAUUGUUUGCUUUAGGUGCUCCUGUAUGGUGCAAAGGUUGUGCGAGCUAUUUUUUAGGAACAAUACUUAUUUUGUUCGGUGUAUUUGAAAUCUGACCGUGCUUCCUUGAUCUGGUAUGCAUUAUGAGGGAAAAGUGGGUUGACUUAUUGGAACCUGGAAAAGUCAUUAUAUAUUAUAGAGAUUGACAAGUGUAUUCUACCAAGGGAGCAAGUAUUUGUAAACUUCUAUCAUGCUUUGAAAAUCACUCAUAAAUCUUCUAAUGUAACAGUCUUAAUUUUGAUCAUACAUUUUCUUUGUUAAGAAUGGACUUCGUCCUUCCAAGUGAAUGCAACCAUUAAAUUAAGGCUCAAUGUCCAUUUUCGUUCAUUUCCCAUUGUCUUAGGAAGAAAACUUCAAUAAACAAAUGAUCUUUUACAUCUGCAUCCGCCAAUUUUAUU